rnacentral:rRNA from 1 species
GACGAACGCUGGCGGCGUGCUUAACACAUGCAAGUCGAACGGUAAGGCCCUUCGGGGUACACGAGUGGCGAACGGGUGAGUAACACGUGGGUGAUCUGCCCUGCACUUCGGGAUAAGCCUGGGAAACUGGGUCUAAUACCGGAUAGGACUCCUGGCUUCAUGGUUGGGGGUGUAAAGCUUUUGCGGUGUGGGAUGGGCCCGCGGCCUAUCAGCUUGUUGGUGGGGUAAUGGCCUACCAAGGCGACGACGGGUAGCCGGCCUGAGAGGGUGACCGGCCACACUGGGACUGAGAUACGGCCCAGACUCCUACGGGAGGCAGCAGUGGGGAAUUUUGGACAAUGGGGGCAACCCUGAUCCAGCCAUUCCGCGUGAGUGAAGAAGGCCUCGGUUGUAAGCUCUUUCGGUACGGAAAGAAAUACGCCCGGGUAAACGUAAUACCGGGUGGAGUGACGGUACCGUAAGAAGAAGCACCGGCUAACUACGUAGCCAGCAG